CGAACGGGUGAGUAACACGUGAGCAACCUGCCCCUGACUCUGGGAUAAGCGCUGGAAACGGCGUCUAAUACUGGAUAUGUGACGUGACCGCAUGGUCUGCGUCUGGAAAGAAUUUCGGUUGGGGAUGGGCUCGCGGCCUAUCAGCUUGUUGGUGAGGUAAUGGCUCACCAAGGCGUCAGACGGGUAGCCGGCCUGAGAGGGUGACCGGCCACACUGGGACUGAAACACGGCCCAGACUCCUACGGGAGGCAGCAGUGGGGAAUAUUGCACAAUGGGCGCAAGCCUGAUGCAGCAACGCCGCGUGAGGGACGACGGCCUUCGGGUUGUAAACCUCUUUUAGCAGGGAAGAAGCGAAAGUGACGGUACCUGCAGAAAAAGCGCCGGCUAACUACGUGCCAGCAGCCGCGGUAAUACGUAGGGCGCAAGCGUUAUCCGGAAUUAUUGGGCGUAAAGAGCUCGUAGGCGGUUUGUCGCGUCUGCUGUGAAAUCCGGAGGCUCAACCUCCGGCCUGCAGUGGGUACGGGCAGACUAUAGUGCGGUAGGGGAGAUUGGAAUUCCUGGUGUAGCGGUGGAAUGCGCAGAUAUCAGGAGGAACACCGAUGGCGAAGGCAGAUCUCUGGGCCGUAACUGACGCUGAGGAGCGAAAGGGUGGGGAGCAAACAGGCUUAGAUACCCUGGUAGUCCACCCCGUAAACGUUGGGAACUAGUUGUGGGGUCCAUUCCACGGAUUCCGUGACGCAGCUAACGCAUUAAGUUCCCCGCCU
rnacentral:rRNA from 1 species